rnacentral:rRNA from 1 species
UACGAAGGGGGCUAGCGUUGUUCGGAAUCACUGGGCGUGAAGCGCACGUAGGCGGAUGUGCCAGUCAGGGGUGAAAUCCCGGAGCUCAACUCCGGAACUGCCUCUGAUACAGCACGUCUUGAGUUCGAGAGAGGUGGGUGGAAUUCCUAGUGUAGAGGUGAAAUUCGUAGAUAUUAGGAAGAACACCGGUGGCGAAGGCGGCCCACUGGCUCGAUACUGACGCUGAGGUGCGAAAGCGUGGGGAGCAAACAGG